GACAGAGGCCUCGAGCGUUAGGCGGAAUCACUGGGCUUAAAGCGUGUGUAGGCGGACGCGUAAGUACCUUGUGAAAUCCCACGGCUCAACCGUGGAACUGCUGGGUAUACUGCGUUUCUUGAGCCAUUUAGGGGCGAGUGGAACGGAUGGUGGAGCCGUGAAAUGCAUAGAUAUCAUCCGGAACGCCUGUGGUGAAGACGACUCGCUGGGAAUGUGCUGACGCUGAGACACGAAAGCCAGGGGAGCAAACGGG
rnacentral:rRNA from 1 species